rnacentral:tRNA from 1 species
GGGGUGGAGCAGCUCGGUAGCUCGCUGGGCUCAUAACCCANCCACGGGCCUCCUUCGCAUUUGUCCCGGGGGUCGAACCCCCGGACCCCCGCCA